AGAGCAUCGCUGGGAUGGGCGACCUGAAUUGGCAAAAAGGAUAUUCUACACCAUAGUAUGUUAUGCCCAGUAUAUGAACUGGGAGAGUUUCCCAGAAUGCUGGCCAGUCUAGGUAUAGGAAUGUGCUCUGGCAUUAGUCAGCAGAAAUAAAUAUGGAGCAAAGAAAUACUAACACGAUGGUCAGUCUACCUACUUAGGAGAACAGAGUUCUGCAUUCCCUCCUAUUUUCCUGUUUGCAAACAUAUGUCACACCUUCCUUAUUAAGUGAGAGUUCUGCAGAUCACAGAGCUACAAGUCAGUUGCAGAAUAUAUGUUGUGGUAA